GAGACACCCUUAUGGGGAAGACUUGUUUCAGUGGGGCUUUGGUGCUCACUGAGUCUGCCCCCUGAGUGUGUCCCU
rfam:Myotis brandtii contig196828, whole genome shotgun sequence.